rnacentral:rRNA from 1 species
CCUACGGGAGGCUGCAGUGAGGAAUAUUGGUCAAUGGACGAGAGUCUGAACCAGCCAAGUAGCGUGAAGGAUGACUGCCCUAUGGGUUGUAAACUUCUUUUAUAUGGGAAUAAAAUGUUCCACGUGUGGGAUUUUGUAUGUACCAUAUGAAUAAGGAUCGUCUAACUCCGUGCCAGCAGCCGCGGUAAUACGGAGGAUCCGAGCGUUAUCCGGAUUUAUUGGGUUUAAAGGGAGCGUAGGUGGAUUGUUAAGUCAGUUGUGAAAGUUUGCGGCGCAACCGUAAAAUUGCAGUUGAAACUGGCAGUCUUGAGUACAGUAGAGGUGGGCGGAAUUCGUGGUGUAGCGGUGAAAUGCUUAGAUAUCACGAAGAACUCCGAUUGCGAAGGCAGUUCACUGGACUGCAACUGACACUGAGGCUCGAAAGUGUGGGUAUCAAACAGGAUUAGAUACCCGAGUAGUC